UUGACCUCAAAUCGGGUGAGAGCUACCCGC
rnacentral:rRNA from 1 species